rnacentral:lncRNA from 1 species
UACUGCAGCUACACCACCACCUACGUACUGGGAGCUGCAGUCACCCAGCAGAGACUCCCUAUUUCAGUCCCAUAGUGCCAAGGAAAUGUCUCCAUUGCCCUCAUGGAAAGCUACCAUUUCACUCCUCCUCUCAGAGGAAGUGCACACUGUGGGAUACACCCAUGUGCCAUUUACCUGGACCAAUAGCUGGCUGGCAAAGACUGGAAUUCUGAAUGAUAUUACAACAAAUCUGAAACAGCUGGGAAAAAGGUCUUCAAGAAGAUGUUUACCAGGUGCUUGGUUUUUUUUAACACAUUUGCUACACUUAUCUCAGUAAUAUGUCUAAGAAAGUCAUCAAAGGGCAGAGUCAUCAAUGCUGGAGUCACUGCAUUCAAGGCAACUUUUAUAAAAUUACGUUAAGAGAAUGGAAUAAAUCAACUAGGGAAGCAUUUGUCUUGUGGAGA